rnacentral:rRNA from 1 species
CGAAGUAGCAAUACUUAGUGGCAGACGGGUGAGUAACAUGUAGGUAUCUUCCCUUUGGUGAGGAAUAACACGAGGAAACUUGUGCUAAUACCUCAUAAGUCUUUACGGAGAAAGCUUUAUGCGCCAUUGGAUGAGCCUGCACUUGAUUAGUUUGUUGGUGGGGUAAUGGCCUACCAAGACUUUGAUCAAUAGCUGAUCUGAGAGGAUGAUCAGCCACAUUGGGACUGAGACACGGCCCAAACUCCUACGGGAGGCAGCAGUAGGGAAUAUUGCACAAUGGAGGAAACUCUGAUGCAGCGAUGCCGCGUGAGUGAAGAAGGCCUUUGGGUUGUAAAGCUCUUUCGUCGGGGAAGAAAAUGACGGUACCCGAAUAAGAAGGUCCGGCUAACUUCGUGCCAGCAGCCGCGGUAAUACGAAGGGACCUAGCGUAGUUCGGAAUUACUGGGCUUAAAGAGUUCGUAGGUGGUUAAAAAAGUUGGUUGUGAAAUCCCGAAGCUUAACUUCGGAACUGCAAUCAAAACUUUUUAGCUAGAGUAUGAUAGAGGAAAGCAGAAUUUCUAGUGUAGAGGUGAAAUUCGUAGAUAUUAGAAAGAAUACCAAUUGCGAAGGCAGCUUUCUGGAUCAUUACUGACGCUGAGGAACGAAAGCAUGGGUAGCGAAGAGGAUUAGAUACCCUCGUAGUCCAUGCCG